AUGGAGCUGUGCAGCUUCGAGAACCUGAAGAACAUGGUCGUGGACAAGAGUGGCAGCCAUGGUCCGCUCGGGCACCAGUCCUUCUUUAGGAAGGAUGUGGUCGGGGACUGGAGCAACCACAUCACGACGGCGAUCGUGGAGCGGCUGGACAAUAUCGUCGAGGAUAGACAAAUCAGUGUCGGCGGCGAUGGCAUCAAUCGACAAACUCAAGCGCCUGCCAAAUAUCCAAAUUAA
rnacentral:rRNA from 1 species